rnacentral:rRNA from 1 species
GGGUUGUGAGGUUAAGCGACUAAGCGUACACGGUGGAUGCCCUGGCAGUCAGAGGCGAUGAAGGGCGUGCUAAUCUGCGAUAAGCGCCGGUAAGGUGAUAUGAACCGUUAUAACCGGCGAUACCCGAAUGGGGAAACCCAGUGUGACUCGUCACACUAUCAUUAACUGAAUCCAUAGGUUAAUGAGGCGAACCGGGGGAACUGAAACAUCUAAGUACCCCGAGGAAAAGAAAUCAACCGAGAUUCCCCCAGUAGCGGCGAGCGAACGGGGAGGAGCCCAGAGCCUGAAUCAGCAUGUGUGUUAGUGGAAGCGUCUGGAAAGGCGCGCGAUACAGGGUGACAGCCCCGUACACAAAAGCGCAUGUGCUGUGAGCUCGAUGAGUAGGGCGGGACACGUGGUAUCCUGUCUGAAUAUGGGGGGACCAUCCUCCAAGGCUAAAUACUCCUGACUGACCGAUAGUGAACCAGUACCGUGAGGGAAAGGCGAAAAGAACCCCGGCGAGGGGAGUGAAAAAGAACCUGAAACCGUGUACGUACAAGCAGUGGGAGCACAGGUUUACCUGUGUGACUGCGUACCUUUUGUAUAAUGGGUCAGCGACUUAUAUUCUGUAGCAAGGUUAACCGUAUAGGGGAGCCGGAGG